rnacentral:rRNA from 1 species
UGCCAUAGCCGGCGGCUUUUGGCGUGCUUUCCGCACGGAAAGGCCUGCAGCUUGCUGCGGGUACUCGAGUGGCGAACGGGUGAGUAACACGUGGGUGAUCUGCCCUCAACUUUGGGAUAAGCCUGGGAAACUGGGUCUAAUACCGGAUAUGACCUUUCUUUAGUGUGGAAGGUGGAAAGCUUUUGCGGUUGGGGAUGAGCUCGCGGCCUAUCAGCUUGUUGGUGGGGUAAUGGCCUACCAAGGCGUCGACGGGUAGCCGGCCUGAGAGGGUGUACGGCCACAUUGGGACUGAGAUACGGCCCAGACUCCUACGGGAGGCAGCAGUGGGGAAUAUUGCACAAUGGGCGGAAGCCUGAUGCAGCGACGCCGCGUGGGGGAUGAAGGCCUUCGGGUUGUAAACUCCUUUCGACAGGGACGAAGCUUUUUGUGACGGUACCUGUAUAAAAAGCACCGGCUAACUACGUGCCACCAGCCGCGGUAAUACGUAGGGUGCGAGCGUUGUCCGGAAUUACUGGGCGUAAAGAGCUCGUAGGUGGUUUGUCGCGUCGUCUGUGAAAUUCCGGGGCUUAACUCCGGGCGUGCAGGCGAUACGGGCUGACUUGAGUGCUGUAGGGGAGACUGGAAUUCCUGGUGUAGCGGUGAAAUGCGCAGAUAUCAGGAGGAACACCGAUGGCGAAGGCAGGUCUCUGGGCAGUUACUGACGCUGAGGAGCGAAAGCAUGGGUAGCGAACAGGAUUAGAUACCCUGGUAGUCCAUGCCGUAAACGGUGGGCGCUAGGUGUGAGUCCCUUCCACGGGGUUUGUGCCGUAGCUAACGCAUUAAGCGCCCCGCCUGGGGAGUACGGCCGCAAGGCUAAAACUCAAGGAAUUGACGGGGGCCCGCACAAGCGGCGGAGCAUGUGAUUAAUUCGAUGCACGCGAAGAACCUUACUUGGGCUUGACAUAUACAGGAUUGCUGCAGAGAUGUAGUUUCCCUUGUGGCUUGUAAUACAGUGUGCAUG